GACGAACGCUGACGGCGUGCUUAACACAUGCAAGUCGAACGAGUGGCGAACGGGUGAGUAAAACGUGGUAACCUGCCCGAUGGAGGGGGAUAACUACUGGAAACGGUAGCUAAUACCGCAUCCCAUCGGAUGGGCCCAGAUGGAAUGGGCUAGUAGGGGGGGUAACGGCUCACCUAGGCGACGAUCCCUAGCUGGUCUGAGAGGAUGACCAGCCACACUGGAACUGAGACACGGUCCAGACUCCUACGGGAGGCAGCAGUGGGUAAUAUUGCACAAUGGGCGCAAGCCUGAUCCAGCCAUUCCGCGUGUAUGAAGAAGGCCUUCGGGUUGUAAAGUACUUUCAGCGGGGAGGCGUUACCCGCAGAAGAAGCACCGGCUAACUCCGUGCCAGCAGCCGCGGUAAUUC
rnacentral:rRNA from 1 species